rnacentral:tRNA from 1 species
UCUAUUCAACUAUAGUAACUUAUA